CCAAGGAUUGGUCCUCUCUCACUCUAAUAAAUUGCCCUUUUCUAAUUAUUUUUUUAAUCUCUCGAGUGUCCCUGUCCUUCUCCACUUUCCCUAGAAUAAUUAUAGCUAACAAGGUAUGUAUUUGAUAUCACUGGGUCUGAAUUACUGUGCUAGCAAGAAAACUAGAGAGAGAGAGAAGGAGAAAGAGGAGAGAGAGAUCCAUUCUCUGUCCUUCUCAUAUCACCUUCCAUGGUUGUCCCAUCUCAGCCUCCAUUCCUCUGCUUUCUCUUCUUCCUCUUUUCUUGUUGAAAUAAUUAAAAAAAAUCCAAUAAAUGCUACCCAGAUAGUAACACCAAUUUUUAAAUUAUUUGCUAUGCAAUUAUUAUCCUAUUCUUCAUUUUUAUUAUAUAAACAUGACAACAUUUUCCCUAAUUUUGCAGCUUUUUAUUGUUUGUUGCUUUUGUUGUUCUUUCAAGAGCAAGACAUCCAUCAUCUUCAAUCCUUCUAUUAAAAAGUCCUUUUUAAUAGAGAGAAGAAGAAAAAAGUGAAAACAACAAAUAUCCAACCCGUCAUUAUUGCUUUGCAGCUUCAAGGAUGCUUCAAACCAUCUGCAUUCUCUUAAUUUGCCUCUCUACCUCUUCCCUUCUCUUUAUUAGAGCUACUUCCUUCAAUCUCUCCCUUCCCCACCAACACCCUGAUCCUGAAGCUGUUGCACAUGAUGUUCAAAGGUGAGCCUCUGUAACUACGCUAUUAAAUCUCGCCAAAUCCACUUCUGGGUUUACUUCAUUUUGUGUUUUCGCGGUUUGAGUUUAUGCAGUUUUGCUACAUCCUAGAUUUUUCUUCAUCGCAAGUUCAGAUUCUAACUUGUAUUUUCCCCAUUUUAACUUGGUGGUCCAUUGCAUUUUCAUGCAAUUUGAUCUAGAUCGAUUUUCUCCUAUUUAUUGCAUUUUCUCGGCAACCAAACUGCAACCAAAUAAAGAUUUGCCACACCGUCCUACAUUUUCAUAGAAAGUUAUUUUCGUUUCUAGUUAUUUCAGUCAUUUUUCUUGCGUCCCCUACAUUUUCCCAUCGACCAAGCAUUUGCUCUGUUUUCUCUGUUUUCUCUGUUUUGCUUUUAUAUUCCAACAUUGAUUUUACAUUUUCUUUUAAACCAAACAGGGUAUGAUCUUAUCUCUAUUUUGGGUAUUUUCUUUUCCAUUUUUAAAAACCUUGCAGGAGAGUCGAUGCAUCUAUAUCAAUACGGCAACUUUUGCCGACCCAAGAAAAGGACAAAUGCCAAACUGGAAACCCAAUCGACGACUGCUGGCGUUGCGAUGCCAAUUGGGCCAACAACCGCCAACGCUUAGCCGACUGCGUCAUAGGCUUCGGCCAGGGUGCAUUAGGCGGCAGAGGAGGCCAGAUCUACAUAGUCACCGACUCCUCGGACCGUGACCCCACCAACCCAACUCCGGGAACCCUCCGUUACGGCGUCAUCCAAGACGAACCCCUCUGGAUUAUCUUCUCCACUAGCAUGACCAUCAAGCUCAAACACGAACUCAUAUUCAAUAGCUACAAAACCAUCGACGGCCGUGGAGCUAACGUCCACAUUACUGGCAAUGGGUGCAUAACACUCCAGUACGUGUCCCACAUUAUUAUCCACAACAUCCACGUCCACAAUUGCAAGCCCUCGGGCAACACUAACAUAGCAUCAUCACCAACGCACGUUGGAUAUAGAGGAAGAUCGGACGGUGAUGGAAUCUCCAUCUUUGGGUCCCAGAAAAUAUGGAUUGAUCACUGCACUCUAUCGUAUUGUACAGAUGGUUUGAUUGAUGCUAUAAUGGGGUCCACUGGAAUCACAAUAUCAAACAACUAUUUUUCUCAUCAUGAUGAGGUGAUGCUGUUAGGGCACGAUGAUAAAUACGUUUUGGACUCCGGAAUGCAGGUGACUAUAGCUUUUAACCGAUUCGGUGAGGCGCUGGUGCAGCGUAUGCCUCGGUGUAGACGCGGGUAUAUACACGUGGUAAACAAUGAUUUCACGUACUGGGAGAUGUAUGCAAUCGGCGGUAGCGGUAACCCUACCAUUAAUAGUCAGGGUAAUCGGUACAUUGCACCGGCUGAUCCUAAUGCCAAAGAGGUGACAAAGCGCGUGGACACGGAGCAAGGCGAGUGGACAGAUUGGAAUUGGAGAACAGAUGGGGACAUAAUGGUAAAUGGAGCAUUCUUUGUCCCAUCAGGGGCUGGGUUGAGCGCCCAGUAUGCAAAAGCGUCUAGCGUGGAGCCCAAAUCUGCUGGGUUAAUCAACCAACUCACCAUGAACGCUGGUGUCUUUGGUGAUCCCAGGGACAAUAAUGGGGGCAUGUCAAAUUCAGGCAACGGCUACGGGACCAGCACCAGCACGGGUAGUGCUGGGUCCGGCGGUGAUGGAGACUACUUCGGAAUGAUAUUCGGUAGCGGCGCUCCACCACCCACUUCUACUAGCACAAUCUUUUUGUCUCUUGUAAUUAUUUUAAUAUUGUACACUUGUAUGGUAGCCAACCAUGGUGCCAUAUUAUCAUUUCCAUUAUCAUGAUUAUUAUAAUGAUUAUAGUAGUUGAUAUUGAAAGGGAAAGCAUCCGUCAAGAUGGCCUGGAAAAAGAAGGCAAGUUGAUUUGGUCCCAUUGCUUAGCCAAUAUUGCAAUUGUAUAGCAUGAAUUUUUUUUUUUAGUCCAUUUUGUACUGGGCUUUUAGUGGGCUUUUCAGAUUUUAAAUAAUUUUCAAGCUCACAAUAAGUAAAGUGAUUUUU
rnacentral:misc_RNA from 1 species